rnacentral:lncRNA from 1 species
GGAUAUGAUAUGGUAGAAUAGAGUUGCUAUAAUCUUGUUCUACAUGAAGCUUGAUAUUUGGAGUUUUACUUUUGCAAAUUCUAAAAUGAUAAGUUCCUCAAUGAUGAGAAAUUCCUAUCCAAGGCGAUAUGUUGAUCCUAUUACAUAGCCUCCACAUAUGCAACUUGUUCUCUCAUUGAGCUUUGUCAAAUUGUUGUGACCCUUAGUGAGAAACUUGUCAUACUCCCAUGAUCAAGAUGACGUACACGCCACCACCAUAUGCUAAACAUCUACACUAGAAGUUACCAGUCAUCAUUUCAUUCAUCCACAAAAUAAAGCUCCAUGUUAUUCUAUGACCUCUCUCUCCAUAAGUAUCCUUGCAAAAGAGACUUGGGUCAUGCAAAAAGACGUAAAGGACAUGCUCAUGAAAGCAUGAUGAAAAAAAAGGAAGAAGAAAAAGAAAAUAUAGCCCAUGUCUCAAAAGAAGAGAAAGCAAAGGAGAAAGAAGGAUCACAAAAAAAGGAGUCCAUAUACCAUCCACCAUAUCCACCAUCCACACACAUGCACAUCUUGAUCAGGUUGUAUGACUUGCUUCUCCAAAGGAUCCAAUCUUUGACUUAGCAAUAAAUGAGAAACAGAUAUGCCUUCAUUCUUCCCU